CCAAUACAUUUUUCUAAAACAUUCGCAGAAAUUCUAUGAAAAGUUUUACAGAUUUCACUUAUUCAGGUCGUUCCACAUUUUAAUUGAGAUAUUUUAUCUGGUGGUAUCUAACCUACAAUUUUUCUUUUAUUUUGAACCAGUUUUCUUAUCAAAUUUUUUUAAAUUCCUGCCUUGAGUCUACGUCUGUGGUGGUACUUUUUCAACCGCAGAAAACAAAAGUCUAGAAUACAGCGAUCGUACCGACCCUGAUUUAGCCCUGUUCUUAUAUUAUUUAUAUAUGAGGAGCAACUAUCCAAAACGCAUUAAAUCCAUUAUUUAACAUUUUUCAGGUGAAUAAUAAAAUUUCCUGUAUUUUAGACAACCUAUUAUCCUGACAGUCCAGUUUCAUCAAAAUGAUUUAAAUCCAUUAGAAACAGUUAUAGUGAAAUCGGGGAAUUAAGCAAAAUGCAUUAAAUCCAUUUUAGUAUCCCUUCAUGUUUAAGCGAAAUGCAAUAAAUCCAAAAUAAAGAUUUCUGCAUUAAGAGUUGUUGGGAUAAUAUUUUAAAGUUAGAAAAGGUGCCGCUCUGCGAUUUGCUAUCAUAGAGAAAUGAAUAUUAAAUACUUUUAAUUAUU